AUAAGUGCUUAGAUUUUCUUAUAUCAUUAGAAUAUCUAACAAAAGAGUUCUUGAAACCAAAAUAAGUCAAAAAAAGAAGAAACUAAGAUGAACUCUAGUAACAGUAAUAGUAGUGCUCCAAACUGGCUAGGUUUCUCCCUAUCACCUCAUCUGAAGACUGAGGAUCAUUAUCAACCUGCUGCUGCAGCUCAUAAUGUUUCUGCAAGCCUCUACAUCUCAGCAUCUUCUAAUGGUGAGAAUUUUUUUUUGAAAUUUUUCUGUUCAUGACUAUGAUUUACCAGACACAUUCUUUUUACUCUUUUGUAAGGUAUGGUGUCAAGUUCUUCCCCAAGAUUGGAGAAUUUCUUAGGAGGAGGGCAUCAUCAAUAUGAAAGUGGUAUAGAAAAGUAUCACUCUCUUGACAUUAUUCAGCAGCCCUUUAGUACACAAGAAGAGAUGCAAUACCUUUCUGGCCUAACUAGCCAGAAUAUAAUGUAUCAAACCUUGCCACAAGGAGAACACAGAGAAGAAGGCCAGGUUGGGGACUGGAUUCUGGGCCAGCAUAUGAUUUCCUCUGGCCUGAUUGUUGAUGUUGGUUCUGGUUCUGUUGGGUCAAUGGGCUGUGGGGAUUUACAGUCUUUGAGCUUGUCUAUGAGCCCUGGCUCUCAGUCAAGCUGUGUGACAGCAUCAAGGCAGAUCUCACCCACUGGCACUGUGUGUUUGGCCAUGGAGACAAAGAAGAGAGGAUCUGAAAAGAUGGGUACCAAGCAGCCCUCUCAUAGAAAGUCAUUGGAUGCAUUUGGGCAGAGAACAUCUCAGUAUAGAGGUGUCACAAGGUUGGUAAACUACUCCCUCCGUCUCAUUCGUUUUUUCCGCAAUAAUCUAGAUUGUUAGCAAAAAUAAUAAUCUAUAUUUAAUUUGUCAUAAUUACUGAAUAUGGAACUAGGGAUGUAAUUUUUUAAAAAAAUUUUCUUGUAAAUUAUUUACAUUAUUUGAAUGUGCUUCUUUCUUGUCUUAGGCAUAGAUGGACUGGUAGAUAUGAAGCACAUUUGUGGGACAAUAGUUGCAAGAAAGAGGGGCAAACAAGGAAAGGAAGGCAAGGUUAGUGACUUGGUUGUUAAUAAAUCACCAAGAAAAACAUAUUAUUCAAAACAAAACAAAAAAGUCACUAUAGAACUGCUAUAUUUGGCUCAUCUUUCUUGACAAUCUAAUCAAUGCUUCUGCUAUUCAUUGACACAUGUUUGUGCUCUUUGGCAUUCUGCUUUCCAAAUCCAUUGGUGCAUAUUGCUUCAGUUUAUCUUGGUAAGCCCUUUUGUUUCGAUUAAAAUGAAAUUAAAACACGCGUAACAAUGACAAGGAUUAUCAGUACUAAGAUACUUGGUAUGCUAUAUCAGGGGGUUAUGAUAUGGAAGAGAAAGCCGCAAGAGCCUAUGACUGUGCUGCUCUUAAGUAUUGGGGAGUUGCAACACAUAUAAAUUUCCAGGUAUUGAAAUUUUAUAUUCAAGAUUUUAACUAAAGAACAAUGUGGUUUAUUGGCCUGCUCUUGUUGCAGUUGGAAAAUUACCAGCAGCAGCUCGAGGAAAUGAAAAAUAUGACCCGUCAGGAAUACGUUGCCCAUCUAAGAAGGUAGAAAUAAGUUUAAAUUUAACUGUCUCAGAAUGUAACAUACAGAAAUCCAGUGUUCCAAUUAACAUUUUUUCAAUUCGUGUUCAGGAGAAGCAGCGGUUUCUCCAGGGGAGCGUCGAUGUACAGAGGGGUGACCAGGUUUCUAAUAUUUUUCAGAACAAAAUCUUUGAUGUUGACAUAAUAAUUUUGUGGGAAUUCAUUUUGGUUCUUGUGACUAAUUUCAAAUAGGCAUCAUCAGCAUGGAAGAUGGCAAGCUAGGAUUGGCCGCGUUGCAGGAAACAAAGAUCUUUAUCUCGGGACAUUCAGUAAGUUUCUGCAGUAUUGUUCAUGAAUGUCUGGACCAAAAUCCAGUUCUAAUUGUAUCAUCUAAACCAUUAUUCUCCCAUAAUUAUCUCUGAUUAUGUAAUAUAAAGCUGCAAUGUCCUAGCUCAUCAUUUCGAAAGCACCUCAGAGUGUUCACUUUCUUGACUGUUUUUAAGCCACUACAGAGAUAUGCUUUUACAAAAGCUGUUGUUAGUCCAACAAAACCUCUUUAGCAGGACAAAUCAAAGUGGACCUUUAAUUAUGAGGCUUUUCUUUCGAUCAUAUACAAAAAACUAGAACUUUAAGAGUAUAGACUGUUGAGAUGUAACACGAUACGAUGUGGGAAUUUUUUUAGGUACCCAAGAAGAAGCUGCAGAAGCUUAUGACAUAGCUGCAAUCAAAUUCCGCGGGGUGAAUGCUGUCACAAACUUUGACAUAACACGAUACGAUGUGGAGAAAAUUAUGGCAAGCAAUACUUUGCUUGCUGGAGAGCUUGCAAGGCGUAACAAAGACAGAGAGACCACCAAUGACGCGAUCACUACAUUUGUUAGCCCGAUGAAAACUAAUAAUGAGGAAGGUAUCCAACAGGGGCAAAAUCCAAGCGUUUUGGAUUGGAAAGUGAUGCAGCAAAAACAAAAUGCUGCUGGACAGCAUUACAAGGACUCCGCUUUCUCAAUGGCCUUACAGAACCUGAUUGGCAGUGAGACGAACUCGAGUCAACUAACAGUCAAUCAAGCAACUAAGAUCAACAACCACCAUUUGUCAACCCCUUCUUCUUUGGUCACAAGCUUGAGUAGUUCCAGAGAAGGGAGUCCUGAGAAAUCAGGCGCCGCGGUGAUACCCUUUGCGACGCCAUCCAUCUAUAGUUCUUGGAUCACUUCAUCUCAGUCAAGAGCAGCUCAAAUUUCUGCAGCUAACUUGCCAGUUUUUGCUGCCUGGAAUAGCUCUUAGAGGGUUUUGUCGCUUGUUGCAUGUGAAGGUUUUGCAUGAGGCAGAAAAAAGAGAAAAUUGAAAGAAAUGUUUGGUACGAUCUGUAGGAUGAUUAGUCCUAGUGGAGGACAUAGUGGGGCCGGUUAAUAUGUAAACCAUGUGAUUGGGAACUUGUCAACUAAUCACCUUUGUUGAAAUCAAAUUUUGCAAAAUUGGAGGGAAUGAUUUCAUGGGGACCUUUUUCUAAGUCAUGCCUAGAACUGAAUCGAAUUAUUUACUUAUAAGUAGUAUUUUCUGAUUAAAUUUUAAAAUUAUAUUACUAAUUUAUCCAUUAUAUUAUAAUUUGACUAAAAUUUUUUGUUUUAUUAUAAAAUUCUAUAUAAAUUUUGAAUCGGUAGGUAUCAGUUAUUUUCAAUUUCUAAUUUAUACUACCAUAGUAAUGUUAUAUGCUGUUUGAACUUAAUCGAGUCAAAUUAUAAACUAUGUCUAUCAUGAAGUCAAAAUGUUGAGAAAUGAACUUGAGUUUACUGAUAAAAUUAUUUGAAAACUAGAGUUAAAUCUGAUGUCAAGAAAGUUAUUUUGUUUAAUUAUAUUUUGAAGUCACAAAAUUAAAAUAAAUCAAGGUUGAUUUCAACACAUCCAAAAAUCAAAUUAAAAAUAUCAAACAAAAUUAACUCUAAUUCGGACAAAAUUAUUUAGAAUUAAGUUGAACUCGAGUUUUCAACAUCCGUACCCAGACUCAAUGUUACACAUGAGAAAAUGAUUAAAUCUACUUUAAUGUUUUGUUGAUCGAAAGUACAAAACCAGCUUAAUGCCCUUCCAAUAAUGUAAAAAGUAUAUUGUUGCAUAGAGCUUUGACCAGAAUAUAUCAAUCCAUGCCCAAAAUGUUCCCAAUCUACAUGACAAAAUGAUUGCCAAUUACUAAUCUACUCUCUGCAUCAAGCUUUCCCAAAGCUAAAAGAAAUUCCCUCAUUAUUCAAUAAAGCUGAGGGAGAUAUUCUCAUAAAUAUUUAGCUGUAUUUAGUUGAUUCAUGUAAGAAUUAGAUGUGCCAUAAUUAGAUAUAAUGCCUUUCAUUAAUUACUUCUUUUAUGUUAAAAGCUAGUAUUCCACUAAAAAACGACUUGAGCUUUUGAAAUUCCUUUAGUAGUGUUAAGGAAAAGUAGUUUCACGUCCUGGGGUGCCACUAAAUUAAGAUUUAUCUUACUAUUAAUCAUCUGGUCGCUUUAAUAAUUACAGGUAAAACUUGACACGUGAGAUAGGAUGGCUAUUAUUUAAUAAAAUAUAUUGUAUUUUAAUAUUGUGUUAUUUAUGUGUCUGUUUUCAUUGAGUAACUCAUAACGCGCUCAUUUGACUAAUAAGCAUGUUAAAAAUGAAAACUUAUUUAUUUUGGGGUAAAAUUAAACAUACAUGUAUAUAUAUAUAUAUNNNNNNNNGUAAUUUAUACAUUCAAAAAAUAUACUUUUGAAUGACAAUAUAAAUAUAAUUUUAAACUAUAUGUAUUUAAAAAUAAUAUUUGUAAUAGAUUUAUAUAUACAUACAUACAUUUACAUACACACAUAUAUACAUACAUACAUUUACAUACAUACGUAUAUAUAUAUAUAUAUAUAUAUAUAUAUAUAUAUAUAUUAAAAUUAAUAAUUUUAAGAAAGUAAAUAUUUAGUUUUAGGAGAAAAAUUGUGAACAUGAUUUUCAAAUAGUUAUUUUAAAACUCAUGUUAUCUAUCUUAGUUCACCAGUUGGACUCUUACUCAUAUCAUCUCUAAAAUAUCCUCUAUUACCCCUUAAUUUGGAAUAUUUGUCUUCAAAAAAUCACACAAAUUUUAAAUUAAUACUCCCUCCGUUUCUUUUUUCUUUUCCUGUUUGUGAUGUCGGUACUGUUCAUAACAUGAGACAAAUUACUAAUUUACAUCUAAUCUAUAAAACUAAAUAUAGUCAUGAGUGAUCUUGUUAGAUUCGUAUUUACGAGCACUUUAAUACGGUGAAGUUUUUAUAUUUAAUGCUACUACGAAAUGAAAGAUAUUAACAAUCAAAAGUGUGUGUUGGCAACGUGAAAAAUACAAACAGGAAAAAUAUUUAGAGACGGAGGGAGUAGCGUGUUCUUUACAGUAUUAGAUUAUAGCAAGAUCUAAAAGGUCAAGGACACUCACUAUAUUUAGCAGACAUUGAGGAAUUUGUGGCACAGAUAGUUGAAAUUAUUGUACAUUAUGAGGCCGUUUGGGUGAGCUUAAAAUAAGUGCUUCUUGCUUAAAAUAAAUAAGUGGAGUAGAAGUUAGAAGCAAAAUAAGACUUAUAAGUGAUUAAAGUGUUUGGGAAAUAAGUAGAAGUCCUGAAACAAAAGCUAGCAUUCCUAGCUUUUUAUAAGUGUUUCUUAACUUAUUACACAAACGGUACGAAUAAGUGCUCAUAACUUAUAAUCCAGAAGCUGGGCUUAUAAGGUGGAAACAAACACCCACUAUAUUCUUAAACUACUAGUGAUAUCCAAUUAGGCAUAUGUGAGAGUACUAAAGUAGGCUAAUAAACGCUUAUUAGGAAGUGGGUAUACGUAUAUCUGAGCUGAUCAAUCACACUCAGGAACAGAAAUAUACGAGACUUUGGGCUUUUAAGUCGACUUUUGAAUGUCAUUAGACACUGUAGUCGGGGGAUUAUUAAUGUCCCGUCCGGGAUACAAGACACGUAAGUCUAAAUUAUUAAAAAAAGUUAACAUUGUAUUUAAUAUUUUUUUAAUUAUGAUCACAGUUUUAUAAAAAUGUAUGAUCUCUGAUACUAUAUUCAUUUGGAUAUUAAUUGGAUAAAAUUGUUCGAUAAUGAUUUUUAUUUUUAUAAUUUUUUUUGCCGAAUUUUUAUAAUCAAACAUACUUAAAUAUUAUAUAUGAUAGGAUUUCGGUCAUUUGUCCAAAACUACAGUGUUUUGUUAAAGAUGAUCAGCCUAGACUUAGAGCAGAGUUCAUAGGGGUCAAAAGAUUAGGACAACACUUGUGACUUUAUGUUGGAAUUUUGCUGAGAUGAAUACCUAAACAAAGUAAUUAUGAUUGGUUUUUUUUUUUUUUUUUGACAAAAUGCAAAUUCAUUCCAUUAAAUUAAAACAAGUCUAGUCGGGACAGAUCCCCAACUGACAAUGCAAUCAGGUUAAUAAACAAUAAAACGAGCUAAACAAAUAGCCUCAUUGUUUCCAGACUGCUUAACACAAUGAAUCCAAUGAUUCUUGAAAUUGAAAAUGAAUACAAAGGCUUCUCGAGUAAUCCAGCCUACAUCAAUCCCGAAAAUGGUAGCUUCACAAUUGACCUUCACAAUAGUUCCAUGGCUGUUGCGGUGUUCAGACGACUCAGUUGUAAAAACUAAGCAAUGAGGAACAAGAAUCCUCGAAUAAUGAACAACUAUAAUUUGUGAAAGGUGAGCACAUGCGAUCACCACCGUUCCAAGCAUACCCCAGCUAUCUACAUGCCGGGAGCCAGCUAUAGACAUGCCGAAAGUAUUAAUGAUGCGAUAAACCAGAUCUCCCAAAACUCCAUCCCAAUCAUUCUCAUUGAUAAUGCAGGAAGACAUAACAACCACAAAUAUAACACCCAAAAAUUGGGUACUAAAUCAACACACGCCAAAAGGCGAGACGGAAAAACACAAUCGGACCUUUGAUUUCAAAAGAUCUGAUUUUUUCAGAAAACAAUCAAGUCCAAGCUCAAAUCCGAAACAGAUCUGAAAAUAAAACUCGAUUGGAAUCUUCGAGGUUUAAGCAACACUCGAUUUUAUUGAAAAACAAAAAACAGGUAAAUAGUGGAGAAGAUGGGAGAGCGAAAAUGAUUUGGUGGAUGUAGAGGAUGAAGGUGAAGAAUGGAGAAGUGACGGCUAAUUUUGGGAGUCGACUCUCAAAACCCUUAUUUGAGAGAGAAUAACAGUAGAGCUGUUCAAGUAAUUAUGAUUGCUUUAGUCAAAUUAAAAUGAUUACUUUUCGUUUGUUGCGGACAGGUAAGAUCAGAUAAAAACAUACUUAAGGGGAUGUUUGGAGUGAGGUUGGUAAUGAGAAUCGGAAAUGGGAAUGGAGAGUAUGGGAAUGGGGAUUAACGGGAAUGAGAAUGAUAUAGUAACCCAGAGUAUGGUAAGAGUAUGAUUUAACCACCUAAAAGGAUGGCGUUCCCAUUCCAUAACACCACAGGGAAUAAUAAUAUACAUGGUUCCAGACAGGGCAACACAGGGAAUGUGAACGUUUAGCUUUGUAUAGACAAAGUGGCAACAGUUGUAGGUAAAAUAAACGAGACUGUUUUGGGGACCCUAUAGCACAUCAUAGUUGGAAUAUAUGAAACAUAAAAGCAAUUGAGAGACCAAUUCCAUCAUGUUCAGGAAGUAGGUGUUUGACCACACUACACCUUCUUUAUGUUGUUGAUAAAAAAAAAGCAAGAAAUUAAAACAUAUGAUACUAUACUCCAUUACUCCUCACUAUCCCCUUUUUCGAGCCUUGUUUUACUGUAUCCGUAAUAUUUUGAUAUUUUUCGAGAUGUCAAGGAAUCGAACUCGGGACCUUUUAUUAUCGAAAAUGCAUGCACAUCCAGUAUUCCAUAAUAUGGUGAUACUGAUAUUAUGGGUCAAGACCAACGCGGUUUGGCUCGAAAACUGGCGUUUUGAACGUUUAAUUAACCAAAAAUUUGGUGACUUUUGGUGAUUGCGAUUUUCAUAAUAUUAUCGAAGAAAAUUGAUGGGUCGUCUGGAAACAAUGAAACAUACAUAUUGUCCAAAUAUAUGACAAAAAUUGCAGAAAACGACUAAUGAUACCAUACUCUUUUUUCUUUCUGACUUGUACAGUACUGCCCUGUUUUAAUAAUUUGGCUUCAUCUUAUUGUUUUUUUACAGCAUUAUUUUCGGUUGUUUUUGGUCUAAGAACUUGAAAUUUUAACCAAAUACUAUGUAUUUACAUGAACCGAUGGUUCGUUUGGAUGAUCAAUUGAAGAUUUAAGCGACUUAUUUGGAUGGUAAAAAAGUGAAAAAAGAAAAGGGAUAGGUUUGGGAUUGAAUGAGUUAGAUGGUGACUAGUCGUGUACAUUCAAUGUUAAGAUUCCUGUAUGUUUAUAUAAUGUAGCUUGGGAAACUUGACAAUGAGGAUCCAUUUAUUUUGUUUCUGAAUCCACAGAUUUAGACUUAUCUGAAUAUUGCGUAUGACACAACGCCGACAAGCUGCCAGAAUUAAUGUUUGCAGCUACCGUACUACUGUACCGGUACGAAUCUAUACAUACAUGAAUUCUAAACCUUCAAAAUUUUUACACAAAGGACUUCUAACAAGACCUCUUCGCAUUAUUUUCUCAAAAAAAAAAAAAAAAAACCUCUUCGCAUUAUCUUAUGAGUGUCCCGUGUGGUUGGACGGUGACGUUUGAGGGGUGUUUGUUUACGGCUUUUGAGCCCAACUUCUCGUUUAUACGUUAGAAGCACUUAUUUGUACCGUUUGUGUAAGAAGACAAAAAACACUUAUAAAAAAACUAAGUGGGUGUUUGGCAACCCAUUUAAAGCCGGACUUCUUGGCUUAUAUGUUAGAAACACUUAUUCGUACCGUUUGUGUCAAAAGUCAAGAAGCACUUAUAAAAAGCUAGGAAUGCUAGCUUUUGUUUCAGGACUUCUACUUAUUUCUCAAACACUUUAAUCACUUAUAAGUUUUAACUUGUUUCUAACUUUUACUCAACUUUUUUAUUUUAAGCAAGAAACACUUAUUUUAAGAUCACCCAAACGGCCCCUAAGACUUGCUCUCUUAAGAUUAUGAGUUCGAUUUUCUGGACGCUGUUGGAGUAAGUGGGCUACCAUGCUCGGAGUAUGAGUGUGCAAACCCAACCAUAUUAGUCGAGAUACCAUAUUAGUCGAGAUGCCCGCAAGCCCACCAGGAUACGGGUUUAAAAGGAAAAAAAGAGACCUCCUUAGCAUUUGCAUUUAUAUAUCGAUAUUUUGCCAAGACCGACUAGAUCGAUUUAUAUAUGCAAUGCCAGUACUACCUGUAGACUAAUAUAGUACUAAUACUGUAAUACAAACACAGGUACUCUCCUUUCCUGUUAGACUGUGGUCUCUGGGUCUACCGCUGCCGUAGUGCAUGCAUUACCCUUCCUUUCCAAUAUUAAAAAUCCAUAGUAUUACAUAUUGUAUCCCAGCAUCCUAGCAAAUAGUUCGGUUUACUUUAAUCACUUGUUCAGUAGAGCAGGGAUAAGCAAUAAUAAUAGACUGAGGAGUAUUUUGAAUAUCUUCUUGUCACAUAAAAUUUGAUUUUUGAAUAUAGAAACAUUUUGUUAUUCGACUCCGGAGGCCCGUGCAUGCAGGGCCGUAUUCAGAGGGGGGGAGUGGGAGUACUUGCCCCGACUGACAUUCUCAAUAGGUAUAUAUUUAUACUAUCAUUCUCAUUAAAUUGUUUAUUUGCCCCCAUGGUUGAGGUGUUUUAUCUUAACCCAAGAGGUACAGGUUCGAUUUAUUAGCGGUUCUUAGACCAUCUACAACCAAGUUCUUAAGACGUAUUUUUACAUCAAAUUUGGAAAAAAUUCGUCUUCAAUCAAAUUCUAAAAAUUCGGCUCGGUUCGUUAAUAUCCCCAUAUAAGCAAACAAUCCAUUUUACCUACUUUCUUUCUAUCUCUCCAGUCUCCACAGAAAUUAUAACCCUUUGGCGCCCUUUAAAAGACCAUCCCACUCACCUCUCACUCUCAGUCACUCUACUAUCAACUACUCACUGGAAACCAUAUAUUUCCCUCUGUGCUACACAAACUUAUUGCUGUAAAACACAGUUGCUAGCCUGAGGUUUUAAGCUAGGGUUCAAGGGCAUCAAUUGUUCAUAAAGUAGAGACCAGCCCAAGGCUGCAGACAAGUUCUUUUCUUCUGCAUCAUGUAACAUAGAGGCUUCAAAAUCUUUGCUUGUCUAUACACUGAGGUCCCUGUAGUCUGUAGUGUAGCCUGUGCAAGGGUCUACUCUUUCAUACAUUUAUAUUUGUUUCUGUUAAAGGAACAAAUUUGGCUCUGAAGAAUAUUUGCUAGACUGGACUUUUGUAGAAGAUAGAAUUUUUUGGCUGGUUGUUAUUAUUAUAUCUGCACUCUUCUUGGCUUCAUUAUUUAUCUGCAGCCAACUACAAGUUCUCAGUUGAUUUAAGCAAAAAGAUAAGUGCUUAGAUUUUCUUAUAUCAUUAGAAUAUCUAACAAAAGAGUUCUUGAAACCAAAAUAAGUCAAAAAAAGAAGAAACUAAGAUGAACUCUAGUAACAGUAAUAGUGGUGCUCCAAACUGGCUAGGUUUCUCCCUAUCACCUCAUCUGAAGACUGAGGAUCAUUAUCAACCUGCUGCUGCAGCUCAUAAUGUUUCUGCAAGCCUCUACAUCUCAG
rnacentral:lncRNA from 1 species